AUGAUCAGAGUGUUGCAUCAGGGUGGUGGCGUGAGGGAGGGUCAGAUCUGGGUGGUAUUCAAAGGUGCUCGCGGGUUUAUGGCCGAUGCUGGAUCCGUAGAGGCUAUUCGCACUCAGUUUGGUGUGUGGCGAUUCGUCGAAAAUGGUGGGCGACUAUGCAAAGGGCCAGAUCCGAAAGGUGCGGCGGUGGAAUGGGUUGGAUAG